rnacentral:rRNA from 1 species
UACGGAGGGGGCGAGCGUUGUCCGAAGUUACUGGGCGUAAAGCGCGUGUAGGCGGGUUGCCAAGUCCGCUGUGAAAGCCCGAGGCUCAACCUCGGAGGGUCGGUGGAUACUGGCAGUCUUGAAGGUGCUAGGGGGAGAUGGAAUUACCGGUGUAGGGGUGAAAUGCGUAGAUAUCAGGAGGAACACCAAUAGCGAAGGCAGCUCGCUGGGACGGUAUUGACGCUAAGGCGCGAAAGCGUGGGGAGCAAACAGG